rnacentral:rRNA from 1 species
CUUUGGUUUUAUUUUGUUGGUUUCUAAGACCAAAGUAAUGAUUAAUAGGGACAGUUGGGGGCAUUUGUAUUUAGCCGUCAGAGGUGAAAUUCUUGGAUUGGCUAAAGACAAACUUCUGCGAAAGCAUUUGCCAAGGAUGUUUUCAUUAAUCAAGAACGAAAGUUAGGGGAUCGAAGACGAUCAGAUACCGUCGUAGUCUUAACCAUAAACUAUGCCGACUAGGGAUCGGACGCUGUUCAUUAAUGACGCGUUCGGCACCUUAUGAGAAAUCAAAGUUUUUAGGUUCCGGGGGGAGUAUGGUCGCAAGGCUGAAACUUAAAGGAAUUGACGGAAGGGCACCACCAGGAGUGGAGCCUGCGGCUUAAUUUGACUCAACACGGGGAAACUCAC